GACAAUAACAACUAUAGGUCACCGUACGGCCUUCAACAAUGAGCAAAGCCCAUACCGCAUAGUCAGCUAUAAUAGGCCCCGAUAAGACAAUGUAAAACAAUUCAAACGAGAAAACUAACGGCCUUAUUUAUGUAAAAAAAAAUGAACGAAAAACAAAUAUGUAACACAUAAACAAACGACAACCACUGAAUUACAGGCUCCUGACUUGGGACAGGCACAUACAUAAAUAAUGUGGCGGGGUUAAACAUGUUAGCGCGAUCCCAACCAUCCCCCUAACCUGGGACAGUGGUAUAACAGUACAACAUAAGAACGAAC
rnacentral:lncRNA from 1 species